rnacentral:rRNA from 1 species
UGGUGAGGUAACGGCUCACCAAGGCCACGAUGCAUAGCCGACCUGAGAGGGUGAUCGGCCACAUUGGGACUGAGACACGGCCCAAACUCCUACGGGAGGCAGCAGUAGGGAAUCUUCGGCAAUGGACGAAAGUCUGACCGAGCAACGCCGCGUGAGUGAAGAAGGUUUUCGGAUCGUAAAACUCUGUUGUUAGAGAAGAACAAGGAUGAGAGUAACUGUUCAUCCCUUGACGGUAUCUAACCAGAAAGCCACGGCUAACUACGUGCCAGCAGCCGCGGUAAUACGUAGGUGGCAAGCGUUGUCCGGAUUUAUUGGGCGUAAAGCGAGCGCAGGCGGUUUCUUAAGUCUGAUGUGAAAGCCCCCGGCUCAACCGGGGAGGGUCAUUGGAAACUGGGAGACUUGAGUGCAGAAGAGGAGAGUGGAAUUCCAUGUGUAGCGGUGAAAUGCGUAGAUAUAUGGAGGAACACCAGUGGCGAAGGCGGCUCUCUGGUCUGUAACUGACGCUGAGGCUCGAAAGCGUGGGGAGCAAACAGGAUUAGAUACCCUGGUAGUCCACGCCGUAAACGAUGAGUGCUAAGUGUUGGAGGGUUUCCGCCCUUCAGUGCUGCAGCUAACGCAUUAAGCACUCCGCCUGGGGAGUACGACCGCAAGGGUUGAAACUCAAAGGAAUUGACGGGGGCCCGCACAAGCGGUGGAGCAUGUGGUUUAAUUUCGAAGCAACGCGAAGAACCUUACCAGGUCUUGACAUCCUUUGACCACUCUAGAGAUAGAGCUUCCCCUUCGGGGGCAAAGUGACAGGUGGUGCAUGGUGGUCGUCAGCUCGUGUCGUGAGAUGUUGGGUUAAGUCCCGCAACGAGCGCAACCCUUAUUGUUAGUUGCCAUCAUUCAGUUGGGCACUCUAGCAAGACUGCCGGUGACAAACCGGAGGAAGGUGGGGAUGACGUCAAAUCAUCAUGCCCCUUAUGACCUGGGCUACACACGUGCUCCAAUGGGAAGUACAACGAGUUGGGAAGUCGCGAGGUUAAGCUAAUUUCUUAAAGCUUCUCUCAGUUCGGAUUGCAGGCUGCAACUCGCCUGCAUGAAGCCGGAAUCGCUAGUAAUCGCGGAUCAGCACGCCGCGGUGAAUACGUUCCCGGCCCUUGUACACACCGCCCGUCACACCACGAGAGUUUGAAACACCCGAAGUCGGUGAGGUAACCUUUUGGAGCCAG